AUGAGUUAGGGUCUUCUAGGCCCGACCUCCCACCCUAUGUUUACUUGACCCUUGUUGCUUCGGCGGACCCGUCUUGGUAAAACGAGACCGCCGGAGGACGUCCUUCGAGACGUUCUCUGGCCCGCGUCCGCCGGGGACAUACACCUAAAAAUUCUUGAAUUAUCAACCAUGUUUUCUGAAUUAUAAUUAUAAAUUAAACA
rnacentral:misc_RNA from 1 species